rnacentral:rRNA from 1 species
UACGUAGGUGGCAAGCGUUGUCCGGAUUUACUGGGCGUAAAGAGCGCGCAGGCGGUCGUUCAAGUCGCGUGUGAAAGCCCCCGGCUCAACUGGGGAGGGUCACGCGAUACUGAUCGACUCGAAGGCAGGAGAGGGUAGUGGAAUUCCCGGUGUAGUGGUGAAAUGCGUAGAUAUCGGGAGGAACACCUGCGGCGAAGGCGGGUCUCUGGGCCGAUACUGACGCUGAGGAGCGAAAGCGUGGGGAGCGAACAGG